UACAGAGGUCCCAAGCGUUGUUCGGAUUUACUGGGCGUAAAGGGUGCGUAGGCGGUCGGGUAAGUCUGAUGUGAAAUCUCCGAGCUCAACUCGGAAAUGGCAUUGGAUACUAUUCGGCUCGAGAGUUGGAGGGGAGACUGGAAUACUUGGUGUAGCAGUGAAAUGCGUAGAUAUCAAGUGGAACACCAGUGGCGAAGGCGAGUCUCUGGACAACUUCUGACGCUGAGGCACGAAAGCUAGGGGAGCAAAC
rnacentral:rRNA from 1 species